rnacentral:rRNA from 1 species
UCGCCCGCCGCGCGCGGCGGGCGGGGCGGGGGCACGGGGGGCCUACGGGAGGCAGCAGUGAGGAAUUUUGCGCAAUGGGGGAAACCCUGACGCAGCAACGCCGCGUGAGUGAUGAAGGCCUUCGGGUCGUAAAGCUCUGUCAAGUGGGAAGAACCUGCUUCGUGAUAAUACCGCGAGGCACUGACGGUACCACUGAAGGAAGCACCGGCUAACUCCGUGCCAGCAGCCGCGGUAAUA